AGUGAACGCUGGCGGUAGGCCUAACACAUGCAAGUCGAACGGCAGCACAGAGGAGCUUGCUCCUUGGGUGGCGAGUGGCGGACGGGUGAGGAAUACAUCGGAAUCUACUCUGUCGUGGGGGAUAACGUAGGGAAACUUACGCUAAUACCGCAUACGACCUACGGGUGAAAGCAGGGGACCUUCCGGCCUUGCGCGAUUGAAUGAGCCGAUGUCGGAUUAGCUAGUUGGCGGGGUAAAGGCCCACCAAGGCGACGAUCCGUAGCUGGUCUGAGAGGAUGAUCGGCCACACUGGAACUGAGACAGGGUCCAGGCUCCUACGGGAGGAAGCAGUGGGGAAUAUUGGACAAUGGGCGCAAGCCUGAUCCAGCCAUACGGCGUGGGUGAAGAAGGCCUUCGGGUUGUAAAGCCCUUUUGUUGGGAAAGAAAUCCAGCUGGCUAAUACCCGGUUGGGAUGACGGUACCCAAAGAAUAAGCACCGGCUAACUUCGUGCCAGCCGCCGCGGUAAUAC
rnacentral:rRNA from 1 species